rnacentral:rRNA from 1 species
GGGUCAGUAGGUUGGUCGUGCCACCGGUACGUACUGGUCUCACUGAUUCCUCCUUCCUGAAGAACCGUAAUGCCAUUAAUUUGGUGUUGCGGGGACACAGGACUGUUACUUUGAAAAGAUUAGAGUGUUUAAAGCAAGCUAACGCUUGAAUACAUUAGCAUGGAAUAAUGAAAUAGGACGAUCGAUCCUAUUUUGUUGGUUUCUAGGAUUGACGUA